rnacentral:rRNA from 1 species
AGACGUCUACAUUAGACUACCCCCGUAGUCCCAGCCGUAAACUAUGCUCGCUAGGUGUCAGGCAUGGCGCGACCGUGUCUGGUGCCGCAGGGAAGCCGUGAAGCGAGCCACCUGGGAAGUACGGCCGACGAAGGCUGAAACUUAAAGGAAUUGGCGGGGGAGCACAACAACGGGUGGAGCCUGCGGUUUAAUUGGACUCAACGCCGGACAACUCACCGGGACGACAGCAAUAUGUAGGCCAGGCUGAAGACCUUGCCUGAAUCGCUG